UACGUAGGGCGCAAGCGUUGUCCGGAAUUAUUGGGCGUAAAGAGCUCGUAGGCGGUUUGUCGCGUCUGCUGUGAAAACCUAAGGCUCAACCUUGGGCUUGCAGUGGGUACGGGCAGACUAGAGUGCGGUAGGGGUGACUGGAAUUCCUGGUGUAGCGGUGGAAUGCGCAGAUAUCAGGAGGAACACCGAUGGCGAAGGCAGGUCACUGGGCCGAAACUGACGCUGAGGAGCGAAAGCAUGGGGAGCGAACAGG
rnacentral:rRNA from 1 species